UAGCAUAUCAAUAAGCGGAGGAAAAGAAAAUAACAAUGAUUUCCCUAGUAACGGCGAGUGAAGAGGAAAGAGCUCAAAGUUGGAACCUGUUUGGCUUAGCUAAACCCGGGAUUGUAAACCUGUAGAAGCGUUUUCCAGGCGCACCAAGCAAAUAAGUCCUUUGGAACAGGGCAUCAUAGAGGGUGAGAAUCCCGUCUUUGGCUUGAGUUGUCGUCUAUUGUGAUACGUUUUCAAAGAGUCAGGUUGUUUGGGAAUGCAGCCUAAAUUGGGUGGUAAAUCUCACCUAAAGCUAAAUAUUUGCGAGAGACCGAUAGCGAACAAGUACCGUGAGGGAAAGAUGAAAAGAACUUUGAAAAGAGAGUUAAACAGUAUGUGAAAUUGUUAAAAGGGAACCGUUUGGUGCCAGACUGGCUUGAUUGUAAUCAACCUGGGCUUCGGCUCGGGUGCACUUGCAGUCUAUGCCUGCCAACAACAGUUUGGUUUGGAGGAAAAAAUUAUAAGGAAUGUGGCCCCUCGGGGUGUUAUAGCUUUAUUUCAUACUCUGGACUGGACUGAGGAUCGCAGUGAAUGCCUUUAGGCAAGAUUGCUGGGUGCUUUCGCUAAUAAAUGCUAGAAUUUCUGCUUUGGGUGGUGCUAGUGUUUAAAGGAGGAACUCGCCUGGUAUAUUUUUAUCGCUUA
rnacentral:rRNA from 1 species